CAGCCGUAAACAAUGUGCGUUAGGUGUGUCGGUAACCACGCGUUACUGAUGCGCCGAAGAGAAAUCGUGAAACGCUCCACCUGGGAAGUACGGUCGCAAGGCUGAAACUUAAAGGAAUUGGCGGGGGAGCACCACAACAGGUGGAGCCUGCGGUUUAAUUGGAUUCAACGCCGGACAUCUCACCGGAUAAGACAGCUGAAUGAUUGUCAAUCUGAAGGUUUUACAUGACUAGCUGAGAGGUGGUGCAUGGCGUCAGUGACU
rnacentral:rRNA from 1 species